GACGAACGCUGGCGGCGUGCUUAACACAUGCAAGUCGAACGGUGAAGCGCCUUCCUUUUUGGUGGGUGUGGAUGAGUGGCGAACGGGUGAGUAACACGUGAGUAACCUGCCCCCUUCUUCUGGAUAACCGCAUGAAAGUGUGGCUAAUACGGGAUAUUCUGGGUCUGUCGCAUGAUGGGUCUGGGAAAGAUAUUGUUUCGGUGGGGGAUGGGCUCGCGGCCUAUCAGCUUGUUGGUGGGGUGAUGGCCUACCAAGGCGGUGACGGGUAGCCGGCCUGAGAGGGUGCACGGUCACACUGGGACUGAGACACGGCGCAGACUCAUACGGGAGGCAGCAGUGGGGAAAAUUGCACAAUGGGCGCAAGCAUGAUGCAGCGACGCCGCGUGAGGGAUGGAGGCCUUCGGGUUGUGAACCUCUUUCGCUAGUGAAGCAGGCCUGCCUCGUUUGUGGGUGGGUUGACGGUAGCUGGAUAAGAAGCGCCGGCUAACUACGUG
rnacentral:rRNA from 1 species